GCUCUUUGAGCGUUAACUAUAUCCAUCUACACCUGUGAACUGUUGAUUGACUUCGGUCAAUUACUUUUACAAACAUUGUGUAAUGAACGUCAUGUUAUUAUAACAAAAAUAACUUUCAACAACGGAUCUCUUGGCUCUCGCAUCGAUGAAGAACGCAGCGAAAUGCGAUAAGUAAUGUGAAUUGCAGAAUUCAGUGAAUCAUCGAAUCUUUGAACGCAACUUGCGCUCUCUGGUAUUCCGGAGAGCAUGCCUGUUUGAGUAUCAUGAAAUCUCAACCAUUAGGGUUUCUUAAUGGCUUGGAUUUGGGCGCUGCCACUUGCCUGGCUCGCCUUAAAAGAGUUAGCGUAUUAACUUGUCGAUCUGGCGUAAUAAGUUUCGCUGGUGUAGACUUGAGAAGUGCGCUUCUAAUCGUCUUCGGACAAUUCUUGAACUCUGGUCUCAAAUCAGGUAGGACUACCCGCUGAACUUAAGCAUAUCAAUAAGCGGAGGAAG
rnacentral:rRNA from 1 species